rnacentral:rRNA from 1 species
GUCUAAGGCCACACCACCCUGAAUCUGCAUGAUCUUGUCUGAUCUCUACAGCUAAGCAUGGUCUGGACUGGGUAAUACUUGGAUGGGAGACAAGGUCUGGGUUCCUUUAUUUGAAAUCUGUAACCCACU